AUGAGGGCUGGUGGUCCUUGGCUCUGAGUCCUAUGGAGGGAGGAGAGGUAAGGUUGAGAUGGGGGACCUUGGGGAGAAAGGCAGGGGCACCCCAGUCCUGGCCUUUGUCCCAAGAGCAGAAUCCUUCAAGCCCCCCACCCCUGCUGUGGAUUGAGAGACAGAAGAGACCCCUUCCCCUUCCCCUUCCCAGCACCAGUAGCCCUCUUCCCACCUGUGGAAUGAAGUUUGUAGGACAUGGCUGCCUGCUUCUACCCGGGAGCAACCCUGACAGAGAAUGAUGACAAUUCAAGAAGAAGGCAGAGCUGAGCAAUGAAGAUACUGUUGGAGGCCCUGAAGGCACUAUGACCUAACACCACACUUCUCAAUUUCAGGAGCUGCAUCAAGGUCAUCACCUUCUAAUUCACGCAAGUGGAUAUGACCACACCUUGCCUGGUGCUCCUGACUCCUGUUCCCUGUGCCAAAUGCCCCCUAAAUGUUUUUAAUGCUGCGGUGUGAUGGAUCGCUUUUGUGUGGCCAUUCUAGCCAUGAUCUUGUAAGUUCCACCCAACUGAUUCAGCGGGGCUGUGUGAUAGGGUAAUUGUGGCCCACCAAAGGGACUGGUCAGUUUUGCCAUUCUGCUGGGCUUGAAAUGAGCCACCUCAGAAGCAGGAGAGAGAGGAUCCCACCACCACCAAGGACCAACAGCCAGGAGCCAGCAUGUCCUUUGAACCCGGGAUUCCUGCACUGAGAAGCUCCUGGAACCAGGAGACUGAGAGAGAGCUGUAACACUGAAGGCAGCGAGAAUCUGUGGCAGAGACCUGGCAGCAGGAGAUGGCAUGGUGGGCUCCCUAGCCCAAGGAGAGAGAAAGCUGAAUGACUCUGGGCAGAGGCUGAGGGCCAGAGAGAGGUGUGCCUGCGAGCACAGCUCGAAGAGGCUUUCCUGAUGGAAGAACUAUACCCUGAGCUUUCCUGAACCUGAACUGUAACCUGUUACUUCCCUAAUGAACCCCAUACUUGUGAGUGUUGUCUGUGAGUUCUGUGUGGCCAUUGCAAUGAAUUAUCGAACCCAGCAGAGAAGUAGAGUGCCGUGGGAGGGGCAGCUGGUGUCAGAAUUGGUAAAGAUGGCUGAGAAAGGAGGCAUGUCUGACCUUCGCCUCAUAGGAAUCAACCUUGGGCUGUUGGUCUUGAUUCUCCUUCCCCCUUGUGAAGUUAGAGGAGGUCAGACACUGCCCCUGUGCCAUUUUUACAGAUGGUGAUAUACUUUUAUGCAGGCCUGUCUCCUGCUACUGGACUAUGAUCUCCUUGAAGGCAGAGACCACAAGUUUUGCCCAUGCCCAGCACACCGGAGGCAUCUAAUAAAUGCCCAUGGAAUGGAAGAUGAAUUCCUGCCCUCCUCUCCCCUGGGUCUUCAGGAGCCUGGAGAAAUGGGGUGGUAGAAGUGCCUACCCUCCAUCUCUGCUGGUGCCCAAGUGACGUCAUGAAGAAGGUGCUGCCACCCAUCCUGAUGUCCUGAUCCCCAGCUGACCCAUCUCACUGGGCCCAGUCCUGCAAGCCCAGUUGGGCAAGGGUUGGCCAGGGAAAACUGCUUCCAGAUUCCCCCACGCAGCCCCUUACCAGUGCUUGUGGGUGCAGAGAAUGGCAACCAAGGUAACGCCCUCCUUUUCAAUGGAAGCCUGGGAGGGAAAGAGGAGGCAGUAUUCAGACUGAGGAACUGGAAGUGAAGGGAGAGACA